rnacentral:rRNA from 1 species
UACGUAGGGGGCUAGCGUUGUCCGGAAUCAUUGGGCGUAAAGCGCGCGUAGGCGGCCAGAUAAGUCCGGUGUGAAAGUCAAAGGCUCAACCUUUGAAUGCCGCUGGAAACUGUCUGGCUUGAGUCCGGAAGGGGCGAGUGGAAUUCCUGGUGUAGCGGUGAAAUGCGCAGAUAUCAGGAGGAACACCAAUGGCGAAGGCAGCUCCGCUGGAACGGUACUGACGCUGGAGGCGCGAAAGCGUGGGGAGCGAACAGG